rnacentral:rRNA from 1 species
UAAGCAUAUCAAUAAGCGGAGGAAAAGAAACCAACAGGGAUUGCCCUAGUAACGGCGAGUGAAGCGGCAACAGCUCAAAUUUGAAAUCUGGCUCUCGGGCCCGAGUUGUAAUUUGUAGAGGAUGCUUUUGAUGCGGUGCCUUCCGAGUUCCCUGGAACGGGACGCCAUAGAGGGUGAGAGCCCCGUCUGGUUGGAUGCCAAAUCUCUGUAAAGCUCCUUCGACGAGUCGAGUAGUUUGGGAAUGCUGCUCUAAAUGGGAGGUAUAUGUCUUCUAAAGCUAAAUACCGGCCAGAGACCGAUAGCGCACAAGUAGAGUGAUCGAAAGAUGAAAAGCACUUUGAAAAGAGAGUUAAAAAGUACGUGAAAUUGUUGAAAGGGAAGCGUUUAUGACCAGACUUGGGCUUGGUUAAUCAUCUGGGGUUCUCCCCAGUGCACUUUUCCAGUCCAGGCCAGCAUCAGUUUUCGCCGGGGGAUAAAGGCUUCGGGAAUGUGGCUCUCUCCGGGGAGUGUUAUAGCCCGUUGCGUAAUACCCUGGCGGGGACUGAGGUUCGCGCAUCUGCAAGGAUGCUGGCGUAAUGGUCAUCAACGACCCGUCUUGAAACACGGACCAAGGAGUCGUCUUCGUAUGCGAGUGUUCGGGUGUCAAACCCCUACGCGUAAUGAAAGUGAACGCAGGUGAGAGCUUCGGCGCAUCAUCGACCGAUCCUGAUGUUCUCGGAUGGAUUUGAGUAAGAGCAUACGGGGCCGGACCCGAAAGAAGGUGAACUAUGCCUGUGUAGGGUGAAGCCAGAGGAAACUCUGGUGGAGGCUCGCAGCGGUUCUGACGUGCAAAUCGAUCGUCAAACAUGGGCAUGGGGGCGAAAAGACUAAUCGAACCUUCUAGUAGCUGGUUCCGCCAAG